rnacentral:rRNA from 1 species
UACAGAGGGUGCGAGCGUUGUCCGGAAUCACUGGGCGGAAAGGGCGCGUAGGUGGUGGCUUAAGCGUGCGGUGAAAGCUCGGAGCUCAACUCCGAGUCGGCCGUGCGAACUGGGCUCACUGGAGCAUAGUAGAGGCAGGUGGAAUUCCGGGUGUAGCGGUGGAAUGCGUAGAGAUCCGGAAGAACACCGGUGGCGAAGGCGGCCUGCUGGGCUAUGGCUGACACUGAGGCGCGACAGCGUGGGAGCAAACAGG